AAAUGACUCUCGGCAACGGAUAUCUCGGCUCUCGCAUCGAUGAAGAACGUAGCGAAAUGCGAUACUUGGUGUGAAUUGCAGAAUCCCGUGAAUCAUCAAAUUUUUGAACGCAAGUUGCGCCCGAAGCCAUUAGGCCGAGGGCACGUCUGCCUGGGCGUCACGC
rnacentral:rRNA from 1 species